CCCGGUGAUUUUUAUUAAACGGCCGCGGUNUCUUGACCGUGCAAAGGUAGCAUAAUCAAUUGUUUUAUAAUUGAAGACUGGAAUGAAUGGUUGAAUGAAAUAUUAGCUGUCUUGUUUAUAUUUAUUAGAAUUUAGCUUUUAAAUGAAGAGAUUUAGAUGUGAUUGAUAGACAAGAAGACCCUGUUGAGCUUUAAAUGAUUUUAAAGAUAUAUAUUAUUAUAUAAAAUAAAUAGAUUUUAUUUUUUUUUUGGUUGGGGCGACUGAGGAACAGAUGAAGCUUCCUUGAUUUAAGAAAAUUGUUUGAUUUUGAUCCAAUAUAGUUGAUUAAAAGAAAUAGUUACCACAGGGAUAACAGCAUAAUCUUCUUUGAGAGUUCAUAUCGAAAAGAGGGGUUGUGACCUCGAUGUUGGACUAAAAUAUCCUAUAAAUGUAGCUGUUUAUGAGGC
rnacentral:rRNA from 1 species